AACUGCACAGCAAACAGAUGUUGCUCCAACUGGAUAGAGUAAAAGAUUUCUGCAUCCAGAGCACACAAGCUGGCUCUGCGUACCUGCGUUAGAAGGUGGUGUAAAUGGUGUUGGUGGUGUAGGAUAUGGAGCAAGCGGAACUGGCAUUGUGAAGCUAACAGAGGUAGUCCUCUCCUGAGAUCUCAAAAGCCUAGUGCUUCAAAAACUUCUAACAGAGCAGCUGCUUCCAUCUUUACUGUCUCAUGAUUGUUACUGGUUCAUCCUCUGAGCAUUUGAAACAUAAGAGGAGCUUAGUCAAGCAUUAGGAGUGAGGCAGACACAGACCUUUACAUAUGCAGAUGUAAAGAGAGAGGGAGCGUGGG
rnacentral:misc_RNA from 1 species